rnacentral:rRNA from 1 species
AAUAUUGGACAAUGGGCGCAAGCCUGAUCCAGCAAUGCCGCGUGGGUGAUGAAGGCCUUCGGGUUGUAAAGCCCUUUUGGCGGGGACGAUGAUGACGGUACCCGCCGAAUAAGCUCCGGCUAACUUCGUGCCAGCAGCCGCGGUAAUACGAAGGGAGCUAGCGUUGUUCGGAAUUACUGGGCGUAAAGGGCGCGUAGGCGGUUUCGAUAGUCAGGCGUGAAAUCCCCAGGCUCAACCUGGGAAUUGCGCUUGAUACUGCGAGACUUGAGUGAGGGAGAGGAUAGUGGAAUUCCCAGUGUAGAGGUGAAAUUCGUAGAUAUUGGGAAGAACACCAGCGGCGAAGGCGGCUAUCUGGACCUCAACUGACGCUGAGGCGCGAAAGCGUGGGGAGCAAAC